CUGGCUCAGGAUGAACGCUAGCGACAGGCCUAACACAUGCAAGUCGAGGGGCAGCACGAGGAAGCUUGCUUCUUGGUGGCGACCGGCGCACGGGUGCGUAACAGGUGUGCAAUCUGUCCAUAGUCGGGGGAUAGCCCAGCGAAAGCUGAAUUAAUACUCCAUGUGAAUCGAAGCCGCAUGACUUUGAUUUGAAACGCAAGGACUAUGGGUGAGCACGCUUCUGAUUAGCUAGUUGGUGGGGUAACGGCUCACCAAGGCGACGAUCAGUAGGGGUUCUGAGAGGAAGGUCCCCCACAUUGGAACUGAGACACGGUCCAAACUCCUACGGGAGGCAGCAGUGAGGAAUAUUGGUCAAUGGGCGAGAGCCUGAACCAGCCAAGUCGCGUGAAAAGGAUGAAGGUUCUAUGGAUUGUAAACUUCUUUUGUCCGAGGGUAAAAAAGGUCACGUGUGACUUCUUGCAAGUAUCGGACGAAUAAGCAUCGGCUAACUCCGUGCCAGCAGCAGC
rnacentral:rRNA from 1 species